UCAUUUCUUCAUUCUUUUUCGUUAGUUUUCCUUUCUCCUACACGAUCGUAGAUGGACUUCCAAAAAUACUCAUGGACGGUUUGCUCUGUGGUCGUGCGGGUACCGUCUCUUUUGCUGUUGUACUUUCGUAUCUCUACGUGCAAGACGGGAAGAAGACAAUUUUAGUGCUCUUAUAUUCUCGAAUGUGAAGCUUCCCUUUCGCAUCGGAUUGACGACUGUUCCGGUCUUAUCUCGUCGGGAAUUCUGUGUCCCUAUGACAACAGGGGUCAAUGAUUCCGACUCAGUGGACUCUACUUUGAUCCAAUCCAUGGGAAGGAAGAGAUGAUCUGAAAGAAAGCUUCAACUCCAGAUCUUCAAGCUAAAGUAGUAGAGUUGUUGCAGUUAAGCAAUUGGAUAGAAAUGGGCUUCAAGAUUUUCUACCUGAUAAAGAACCAUUAGAUUGGAAUACAAGAAUAAAGAUAGCAGCAGGUGUGGC